rnacentral:rRNA from 1 species
AUGGCGCAUGGUGAGGGGUCUGUUCCUUCCAGUGAACUGUCGAUUUGUCAGUUAGCUGAGCGGCAUCUAUAUGAGCCUAAUACUAGUGAAGAGGUCAACCCAGUGAUCAGACAGCAGGUGCUCGCACAUGCGGAUUUGACGCGCCAUCCUCGUGGUUGGAAUGUGGGGUCUACUCUUAGUGACUAUUCUUUUCACCCAUUAGCACCUUAUUCUAAACCUGAUCAUGAAGCCUACACCCUAGGGACCAGGAUGGUAGCAAAAGGUCUAGGUUGGGAUGGUCACACAGCCGAGUAUGUUCCGCAAUCCAAAGACUAUGUUGAGUGGGGCAUCUCUAUAUUGAAUAACCACUUGUUUUGUUUGAAAGGCGAAGCGGAGAACACCGAUUAUAUAUAUGGGGCCAUUUAUUGCUCCCUCGGUGAAUAUGAAGUUUCAGAUUCGUUACUGAGGUCACUAAUGGAAAGAUGGGAUCCAGAAACAAAUACUUUUCUUUUUUCAUCUGGUGAACGCACCGUGACUCUGCUUGACAUGCUUCUAAUGUCAGGUCUUCCUUCAGUUGGAGAUCCAUACGAGGAAUAUGUUCCCUCUAUAGAUGACCUAGAACCUUCAAAGCUUAUGUUCCCAAAUUUCUUAUCUGGUCUUUUAGAAGAAUUCUACCGGCUCAGCCGCAAAAAUGGGAGUGUGACUUUUCAAGUUUGGUGUGACCACUUCCAUAACAGACGCGAAUGCACUUCGUCUUUCACCUCCCUUCGGGAACAACACAUAUACAUUGCGGCUUUUAUAGCCCACUGGCUUUGCUCUUACGUGGUUGUUGGUGGGGGGCCUUAUAUUCGUCCUGGUGUCCUUCUUAUGGCCUCUUGGAUCGUCUCGGGUCGCAAGAUCUCUUUGGCCCCUUCAACACUUUGUUCAUUGUAUUAUUCUCUUCGAAGGAUCAGUAUGCACCCCGUUGCUUCCUCCUAUGAGAAAAGAAUUUGA